CAGGGAGACAACAACUGAUCGUGAUGUCUGAGCUUAAUUUGUUCUCAGGCCAUGAUCCUGUCACCUUAGGUCGAUCGGUACCUCAAUUUGAUUUGCAAAGAGUAUGAGAAAUCUUCUUUUUUAAAAUCAGAAUCAGUUCCUAAACUUGUCUAGGUCACACCCAGCAAGGGUACUCCUGGGCUAUUAGCUCAGGUGGUUAGAGCGCACCCCUGAUAAGGGUGAGGUCCCUGGUUCAAGUCCAGGAUGGCCCAUUCGAUGUUGGGGGUAUAGCUCAGCUGGUAGAGCGCCUGCUUUGCAAGCAGGAUGUCAGCGGUUCGAGUCCGCUUACCUCCACUGAUCGAUUUCCUGAUUAGAACUUGAAGGAGAUUACCUUUGCCUGAGGAGACUUAGAAAACUGUUUUUUUGAAUGAGAACCUAGCUUCUUGUCAUUCGUUACUAAACAAUUAUUAGUUUGAUUGAUAAGAUGCUGGGCUCACUGCAAUUAAUGAUUGCAGAGAUGUUCAGUAGAACCUUGACAACUGCAUAGGUGAGUCUGGAAAGAAAAAAGCAUCUCAUGGAUGCAUUGUUUUUCAGUUAAAGCUAGGAUUUCUAGUUUUUGACUAAUGAAUAAUGUUUAAUUCUUGAGAAAGAGCCGAGACUCUAUAGUACUUAAUUCUAGGUGUAUUUAUAUGCAUCUACGAAGGUAGAUUUACCAGUAUCUAUAGAGAAAUAU
rnacentral:tRNA from 1 species